GCCCGCCUAGCUCAAUCGGAUAGAGCGUCAGACUCUUACGAGGGCGGGAUUCGUUCUGCUCUCAUCCAGGGCUAUCUGAAGGCUGCGAGUUCGACCCUCGCGGUGGGCU